rnacentral:rRNA from 1 species
AUGGCCGAGCCGGCGCGGCACCUCGCCGACGAGAUCCUGGAGGAGAUCUUCAUUCGCCUGCCCACGCCGGCCGCGCUCGCCCGCGCCUCCACCGCCAGCCCCCGUUUCCGCCGCAUCAUCACCGAGCGCCCCUUCCUCCGCCGCAUCCGCGCUCUCCAUCCGCCGCCACUCCUGGGGUUCGCCGUCGACAAGCGCGCCUUCCACCACGCGCAGGAACCUCAUCCCUCCGCCCCGCUUGCCCGAGCCCUCGCCGACGGCGCGGAUUUCUCCUACUCCUUCGUUCCCGCGCCCCAGCCCCAUCAGGAGCUGCUCAGCCCCUGGUACCACCGUGACAUCCGCGACGGCCGCGUCCUCCUCGAGCGCAGCUACCUGUUCGGCGCGGGUGCAGCCUUCCCAAACCUCGCCGUGUGCGAUCCCGUGUCACGGAGGUACGUGCUGCUCCCGUCCAUACCCGAGGAAAUGGCCGUCCAGCAAGAGCGCCUUGUCGAAUUCGGGCCCAUGCUCGGUCCCGCUGCCGAGGAUGAGGAUGAGACCUCGUUCUCGGUGAUCUGCACGGCGUGCUACAAGAGCAAGUUGGUCACAUUUGUCUUCUCUUCGGUCACCGGACAAUUGUGUGUAGCUGCAUCUCCCAGCUGGAGCUCUUUGGGCACAGCUAAGCCCACUUGGAAAGGCAUUUCCAGCUUCAGCUACUUGCGUGGCUGCUUCUACUGGGGAGCUCUCUGGCAAGACAAGUUUCUCGUGCUGGACACACGCACAAUGGAGUUUUCCACACUGAACAUUCUCACAGGCUACCAUAUGCAGCUUCUAAAUCAGCCUGGCCAGGACCCAUGCAGUCAUACCAUUGCUGGUGGUGCAAAAGGAGCGCUCGAGAUGUUUACUCCUGUCGGUGAUUACCAUUCUACCUUGCUGUAUCACACCACUCAACAAAACAACGGCGAAUCAUCCAAUGAGUGGAAGCUACAAAGGGUUAUAGCGUUGCCUCCCGAAUCACUCUAUUUUACUGUGGGUGCAACUGAGGGAUUCUUAUUCCUUCGAGGAGCUCAGUGGGUUGAUGAUUCAUAUGGGUUCUUGCCCGUCGAUUUUUAUUCUCUGGAUGUCAAGACCGCAGAACUUAAGAAGGUCUGUAGGGUAACAACACACUUUGAUCGUCCCAAUGUUGUUCACUCAUACUUUGGCUUCCCACCAUCAUUGUCCAAACCGAGUCUAUGA